rnacentral:misc_RNA from 1 species
AAACUGCGAUAAGUAGUGUGAAUUGCAUUUAGUGAAUCAUCGAAUCUUUGAACGCACCCUGCACUCACUGGUAUUCCGGUGAGUACGCCUGUUUCAGUAUCAUUGAAAACACACAAUCAAAACAUUUUCUUUGGUUUGAUUGGCUUUGGGUCUAUCAAAAAGUUUGGCUUGUUUCUUACAAGCCAAGCGGCCUGAAAUAUAUUGUCUGGCUAAUUGCAUCGUUGAUGAUCGCUAUUAGACUUUGGCUUUUUUAAAUGAACUGGAGGUUGAUUAACCAGUUUUAGCUUUAGUCAAAUGGUCAUUGUAAAAAAAAUCUCGAUCUUGGCUAGGUGUUUAUAGCCGAAAAUUUUUUUUUGGCUAUAACCGAAACCAAUAUAAUCACAUUUAGUUAUCGAUCCGAAAUCAGGUGGGACUACCCGCUGAACUUAAGC